CCCUUAGAUGUUCUGGGCUGCACGCGCGCUACACUGACACACCCAGCGAGUCUCCUGCCCUGACAGGGUUGGGUAAUCAUUGGAGUGUGUGUCGUGAUGGGGAUAGAGUAUUGCAAUUAUUGCUCUCGAACGAGGAAUUCCUAGUAAGCACAAGUCAGCAGCUUGUGCUGAUUACGUCCCUGCCCUUUGUACACACCGCCCGUCGCUCCUACCGAGGGGGUGAUCCGGUGAAUGAUUCGGACUUUGGCGUUUCUAGCUGCUAGCAGCGCUGAAGAAAGUUUUGUGAACCUUAUCACUUGGAGGAAGGAGAAGUCGUAACA
rnacentral:rRNA from 1 species